rnacentral:rRNA from 1 species
GAUGAACGCUGGCGGCGUGCUUAACACAUGCAAGUCGAACGGAAAGGCCGAAGCUUGCUUCGGUACUCGAGUGGCGAACGGGUGAGUAACACGUGGGUGAUCUGCCCUGUACUUCGGGAUAAGCUUGGGAAACUGGGUCUAAUACCGGAUAUGACGAUCUCUUGGAUGGGGUUGUGGAAAGCUUUUGCGGUAUGGGAUGAGCUCGCGGCCUAUCAGCUUGUUGGUGGGGUAAUGGCCUACCAAGGCGUCGACGGGUAGCCGGCCUGAGAGGGUGUACGGCCACAUUGGGACUGAGAUACGGCCCAGACUCCUACGGGAGGCAGCAGUGGGGAAUAUUGCACAAUGGGCGCAAGCCUGAUGCAGCGACGCCGCGUGGGGGAUGACGGCCUUCGGGUUGUAAACUCCUUUCGCAAUCGACGAAGCCUUUUGGUGACGGUAGGUUGAGAAGAUGCACCGGCUAACUACGUG